rnacentral:rRNA from 1 species
AGCAGCCGCGGUAAUUCCAGCUCCAAUAGCGUAUAUUAAAGUUGCUGCAGUUAAAAAGCUCGUAGUUGAAUUUCGGGGUUAGUAGGUUGGUCAUGCCUCUGGUAUGUACUGGUCUCACUGAUUCCUCCUUCCUGAUGAACCUUAAUGCCAUUAAUUUGGUGUUUUGGGGAAUUUGGACUGUUACUUUGAAAAAAUUAGAGUGUUUAAAGCAAGCUAACGCUUGAAUACAUUAGCAUGGAAUAAUGAAAUAGGACGUUCGAUCCUAUUUUGUUGGUUUCUAGGAUUGACGUAAUGAUUAAUAGGGAUAGUUGGGGGCAUUAGUAUUCAAUUGUCAGAGGUGAAAUUCUUGGAUUUAUUGAAGACUAACUACUGCGAAAGCAUUUGCCAAGGAUGUUUUCAUUAAUCAAGAACGAAGUUAGGGGAUCGAAGACGAUCAGAUACCGUCGUAGUCUUAACCAUAAACUAUGCCGACUAGGGAUCGGAUGAUGUUAAUUUUUAAUGACUCAUUCGGCGCCUUACG